UUCCUGCUGUUUGGCGAGUACACAGUGCAAUGCAGUAUGUCUGUCAGCGCUGCGGCACAAAGGAACAGCCAUUUUGUGACUGAGCUGGACUUGCACCAAGAUGCCAGGGCCUCCGAGAACUGCUGCCGGCGCCAACUACCGAGUUGCCCUUUAUUUCAUCAUCAGAGUACUAAUGGGAACGUGGGGAAAGGGAUGUUCUGAUAGUAGAAAGAACCAAAGUAGCAAGCUCAGACCCUAGGACCAUGACCUGUUUUCAGUGAAUGUUCUAAUCUAUGUGUCCAUUUCAGUACAAGUAUUCUCAACUGUAAAACUACAAUGGGAAAGCACUACAGGAUCUAUAUAAUACAGAAAUACAACUUCAAAUUAUUAAAAUGGGGCCUGUGAGACAGUGCAAUACGUUCAGAAACACCAGGACACUGACAGAGCCUCUAAGAGCAGUGCAUUUAGUUUUGUGGAAUCUAUUGAUUUUUGUUGUUGUUUAAAGAACUACUAAAAAUGAGUUAUUUUAAC
rnacentral:lncRNA from 1 species